rnacentral:lncRNA from 1 species
AUUACAACUGAAAAGAACAAAGUGGAUACAACUUGGGGACUCCAACACUAAGUAUUUCACUGGAGUAAAAAAGGACAGAAGUCACCAAAAUCAGAUUACUGAGCUUACCAAUGCAAUGGGAAUCAAACUUACUGCACCUACAGAUAUCAAAGAGGAAAUCCUGGGAUUCUACAAAGCACUGAUGGGCACUUCUGCAACUAAUCUGCCUGCUAUAAACCAAUUGUAUAUGUCAAAUGGUCCAAAACUGGCACAACAACAAAGACAAGAACUUUGUGCUGCAACAACUGACACAAAAAUAACAGAGAGUCUCAAGGCUAUUGGAGAUGGCAAAGCACCAGGGAUAGACCUUUGUGCUGCAGUAACUGACACAGAAAUAACAGAGAGUCUCAAGCCUAUUGGUGAUGAGAAAGCACCAGGGAUAGAUGGAUAUAAUGUUGUUUUCUUCAAAAAGAGCUAGAGCUUCGUUAGUAACCAAGUCACCACUGCCAUUAAGCAAUUCUUCAACUCAGCUAGGAUGUGCAAGCCAAUCAAUUGUUCAACUAUUACCCUCAUCCCUAAACUGUCCAAACCAACUACAGUCAAAGAGUACAUGCCUAUUGCUUGUUGUACUGUGCUAUAAAAACUCAUCUCAAAAGUAUUGGCUAAUAGGCUGCAGAAGGUGAUGGCAAGCAUCAUCAGUGAAGCUCAAGCAGGAUUCAUCCUAGGUAGAAAGAUCCAGGAUAACAUCAUUCUAGCACAUAAGCUUGUCAAAAUCUAUAAUAGAAAGCAUGUCUCCCCCAGAUGCAUGAUUAAAAUAGACCUCCAGAAAGCAUAUGAUUAAGUGGAAUGGUAUUCUUACAACAAGUUAUGGAACAGACUGGCUUCCCCAGCACCUUCACCUAAUGGAUUAUGAAGUGUAUCUCAACAGUGAGCUUCUCUGUGUUAGUUAAUGGAGAACCUACUAUACCCUUUGCUGCUGCAAGGGGACUGAGGCAAGGGGACCCCAUCUCCCCCUUCCUAUUUGCCUUGGUCAUGGAGUAUUUA